GAGUACAUAGUUCAACAGUGAAGAAUGCGUCCCUGUCACGGACGAGGUUGCAGGUUCGAGUCCUGCUGUACUCCCA
rnacentral:tRNA from 2 species